AUGAUGUAGACGAUGAUCUUGCUGACUUCAUUGGCUCUGUGCUGCCAAAUUCAAGUUCAAAAGACCUAGUGUUAGAGACUCUCCAGACCUUAGGUGUGAAAACCCUGGAAGAUUUGAAAUAUGUCCAGGAGCCAGAUCUUAUUAACGUCCUGAGGCCAAUUGAAGCUAGAAAAUUGAUUGCACAGAUUAAAGCUUUACCUGAGAAAGAUGCUAGUGAGAUUCCUGAUCAGCCUACCAGAGCUCAGCCGAAUGUAACGCCAUGCAGAGAGCGUUCAUCUACAAAUGCCUUUUCAAGAUAAAUCCGGACAGGGGGACCAAGGUGGAGAA